UACGUAGGGGGCUAGCGUUGUCCGGAUUUAUUGGGCGUAAAGAGCGUGUAGGCGGCCAUGUAGGUCCGGUGUGAAAACUCGAGGCUUAACCUCGAGAUGUCAUCGGAAACCAUUUGGCUAGAGUCCGGAAGAGGAGAGUGGAAUUCCAGGUGUAGCGGUGAAAUGCGUAGAUAUCUGGAGGAAUACCGGUGGCGAAGGCGGCAUCCUGGACCGACAUUGACGCUGAACGGCGAAAGCUAGGGGAGCAAACGGG
rnacentral:rRNA from 1 species